rnacentral:lncRNA from 1 species
GCAGCAGUGACAGCAGUAGCGGUAAAGUAACAUAGCAAAGACCGGUAGGAAAAACUCGUAGGCAUUGGAUCGGUGAUGGAUAAUUAUGUCGGAUGACAUUCAUCAUGUAUCAGUUAUAACAAGGGGUGAUUUGUAACUAGCUCCAGUUCGUCAAUGUAAUAUAGGCAUGUAUUCCGUAUUUAGUCAUACGUGCUUAUGGAAAAGAAUUUGCAUGACAUCUAUUGUCCAUCCCUCCCGUGGCAGCGGGGUCCUAAUGGAAACUAAGGGAUAUUAAGGUCUCCUUUUAAUAGAGUACCAGAACAAAGCAUUAGCACUUAGUGAAUACAUGAACUCCUCAUACUAUGGUCAUCUCCGGGAGUGGUUCCGGCUAUUGUCACUCCGGGGUUGCCGGGUCAUAACACAUAGUAGGUGACUACAACUAGCAAGAUA